AGUGAACGCUGGCGGUAGGCCUAACACAUGCAAGUCGAACGGCAGCACAGUAAGAGCUUGCUCUUACGGGUGGCGAGUGGCGGACGGGUGAGGAAUACAUCGGAAUCUACUUUUUCGUGGGGGAUAACGUAGGGAAACUUACGCUAAUACCGCAUACGACCUACGGGUGAAAGCAGGGGAUCUUCGGACCUUGCGCGAUUGAAUGAGCCGAUGUCGGAUUAGCUAGUUGGCGGGGUAAAGGCCCACCAAGGCGACGAUCCGUAGCUGGUCUGAGAGGAUGGUCAGCCACACUGGAACGUGAGCACGGUCCAGACUCCUACGGGAGGGCGCAGUGGGGAAUAUUGGACAAUGGGCGCAAGCCUUAUCCAGCCAUACCGCGUGGGUGAAGAAGGCCUUCGGGUUGUAAAGCCCUUUUGUUGGGAAAGAAAAGCAGCAGGUUAAUACCCCGCUGUUCUGACGGUACCCAAAGAAUAAGCACCGGCUAACUUCGUG
rnacentral:rRNA from 1 species